GUUAAGCGACUAAGCGUACACGGUGGAUGCCCUGGCAGUCAGAGGCGAUGAAGGACGUGCUAAUCUGCGAAAAGCGUCGGUAAGGUGAUAUGAACCGUUACAGCCGGCGAUGUCCGAAUGGGGAAACCCAGUGCAAUUCGUUGCACUAUCGUUAACUGAAUACAUAGGUUAACGAGGCGAACCGGGGGAACUGAAACAUCUAAGUACCCCGAGGAAAAGAAAUCAACCGAGAUUCCCCCAGUAGCGGCGAGCGAACGGGGAGCAGCCCAGAGUCUGAAUCAGCUUGUGUGUUAGUGGAACGGUCUGGAAAGUCCGACGGUACAGGGUGAUAGUCCCGUACACCAAAAUGCACAGGCUGUGAACUCGAAGAGUAGGGCGGGACACGUGGUAUCCUGUCUGAAUAUGGGGGGACCAUCCUCCAAGGCUAAAUACUCCUGACUGACCGAUAGUGAACCAGUACCGUGAGGGAAAGGCGAAAAGAACCCCGGCGAGGGGAGUGAAAAAGAACCUGAAACCGUGUACGUACAAGCAGUGGGAGCACCUUCGGGUGUGACUGCGUACCUUUUGUAUAAUGGGUCAGCGACUUAUAUUCUGUAGCAAGGUUAACCGUAUAGGGGAGCCGCAGGGAAACCGAGUCUUAACUGGGCGUUAAGUUGCAGGGUAUAGACCCGAAACCCGGUGAUCUAGCCAUGGGCAGGUUGAAGGUUGGGUAACACUAACUGGAGGACCGAACCGACUAAUGUUGAAAAAUUAGCGGAUGACUUGUGGCUGGGGGUGAAAGGCCAAUCAAACCGGGAGAUAGCUGGUUCUCCCCGAAAGCUAUUUAGGUAGCGCCUCGUGAACUCAUCUUCGGGGGUAGAGCACUGUUUCGGCUAGGGGGUCAUCCCGACUUACCAACCCGAUGCAAACUACGAAUACCGAAGAAUGUUAUCACGGGAGACACACGGCGGGUGCUAACGUCCGUCGUGAAGAGGGAAACAACCCAGACCGCCAGCUAAGGUCCCAAAGUCACAGUUAAGUGGGAAACGAUGUGGGAAGGCACAGACAGCCAGGAUGUUGGCUUAGAAGCAGCCAUCAUUUAAAGAAAGCGUAAUAGCUCACUGGUCGAGUCGGCCUGCGCGGAAGAUGUAACGGGGCUAAACUGUGCACCGAAGCUGCGGCAGCGACACUAUGUGUUGUUGGGUAGGGGAGCGUUCUGUAAGCCUGCGAAGGUGGCCUGUGAGGGUUGCUGGAGGUAUCAGAAGUGCGAAUGCUGACAUAAGUAACGAUAAUGCGGGUGAAAAGCCCGCACGCCGGAAGACCAAGGGUUCCUGUCCAACGUUAAUCGGGGCAGGGUGAGUCGACCCCUAAGGCGAGGCCGAAAGGCGUAGUCGAUGGGAAACAGGUUAAUAUUCCUGUACUUGGUGUUACUGCGAAGGGGGGACGGAGAAGGCUAUGUUAGCCGGGCGACGGUUGUCCCGGUUUAAGCAUGUAGGCGGAGGUUCCAGGUAAAUCCGGUACCUUUUUAACGCUGAGGUGUGAUGACGAGGCACUACGGUGCUGAAGUAACAAAUGCCCUGCUUCCAGGAAAAGCCUCUAAGCAUCAGGUAACAUUGAAUCGUACCCCAAACCGACACAGGUGGUCAGGUAGAGAAUACCAAGGCGCUUGAGAGAACUCGGGUGAAGGAACUAGGCAAAAUGGUGCCGUAACUUCGGGAGAAGGCACGCUGAUAUGUAGGUGAAGCCCCUGCGGGUGGAGCUGAAAUCAGUCGAAGAUACCAGCUGGCUGCAACUGUUUAUUAAAAACACAGCACUGUGCAAACACGAAAGUGGACGUAUACGGUGUGACGCCUGCCCGGUGCCGGAAGGUUAAUUGAUGGGGUUAUCCGUAAGGAGAAGCUCUUGAUCGAAGCCCCGGUAAACGGCGGCCGUAACUAUAACGGUCCUAAGGUAGCGAAAUUCCUUGUCGGGUAAGUUCCGACCUGCACGAAUGGCGUAAUGAUGGCCAGGCUGUCUCCACCCGAGACUCAGUGAAAUUGAACUCGCUGUGAAGAUGCAGUGUACCCGCGGCAAGACGGAAAGACCCCGUGAACCUUUACUAUAGCUUGACACUGAACAUUGAGCCUUGAUGUGUAGGAUAGGUGGGAGGCUUUGAAGCGUGGACGCCAGUCUGCGUGGAGCCAACCUUGAAAUACCACCCUUUAAUGUUUGAUGUUCUAACGUUGGCCCCUUAUCGGGGUUGCGGACAGUGUCUGGUGGGUAGUUUGACUGGGGCGGUCUCCUCCCAAAGAGUAACGGAGGAGCACGAAGGUUAGCUAAUCCUGGUCGGACAUCAGGAGGUUAGUGCAAUGGCAUAAGCUAGCUUGACUGCGAGCGUGACGGCGCGAGCAGGUGCGAAAGCAGGUCAUAGUGAUCCGGUGGUUCUGAAUGGAAGGGCCAUCGCUCAACGGAUAAAAGGUACUCCGGGGAUAACAGGCUGAUACCGCCCAAGAGUUCAUAUCGACGGCGGUGUUUGGCACCUCGAUGUCGGCUCAUCACAUCCUGGGGCUGAAGUAGGUCCCAAGGGUAUGGCUGUUCGCCAUUUAAAGUGGUACGCGAGCUGGGUUUAGAACGUCGUGAGACAGUUCGGUCCCUAUCUGCCGUGGGCGCUGGAGAAUUGAGGGGGGCUGCUCCUAGUACGAGAGGACCGGAGUGGACGCAUCACUGGUGUUCGGGUUGUCAUGCCAAUGGCAUUGCCCGGUAGCUAAAUGCGGAAGAGAUAAGUGCUGAAAGCAUCUAAGCACGAAACUUGCCCCGAGAUGAGUUCUCCCUGAGACUUUAAGUCUCCUGAAGGAACGUUAAAGACGAUGACGUUGAUAGGUCGGGUGUGUAAGCGUAGCGAUACGUUGAGCUAACCGAUACUAAUGAACCGUGAGGCUUAACC
rnacentral:rRNA from 1 species